rnacentral:rRNA from 1 species
CAUUAUCGAAGUCGAACGUCUGGGAGGGGGGCUCCGACCCUUCUUCUGGGCUUCAACCUUCUUGACACCCGUGUGCACUCGCUGUAGGUCCCGAGGGACCUAUGUCUGCUUUCGAACUCGCAUGUCUACAAGAACGUGUUGGUCGCCUCGUGUCCCCGGCCUCGACCCUCAGGGUCCUGUGUCGGCGAUCGAAAAGGCCUCGACGAAUAUAUGUACAACUUUCAGCAACGGAUCUCUUGGCUCUCGCAUCGAUGAAGGACGCAGCGAAUCGCGAUAAGUAAUGUGAAUUGCAGAUUUUCCGUGAAUCAUCGAAUCUUUGAACGCAUCUUGCGCUCCUCGGUAUUCCGAGGAGCAUGCCUGUUUGAGUGUCAUCGAAGACUCGAGUCCGAAGCCUUCGACCUCGUCGGAGCUCGGUUCGGACUGUGGGAGUCUGCGGGCGAGCUCUGCCUCGUCCGCUCUCCUCAAAGGCAUUAGCUGCGGGUGUGCGGGACUUUGCAUGGCACGGCCUGUUCGACGUCGUAACGAUCGUCGUGGGCUGGAAGUGUAGGACUCGAUGGGACCCCGUGCUUCUCUAGUCUAGCGAGCCCCGUCCGUCGCACGGGGCCGCACCUCGUCGAAGCGUGACCUCAAAUCAGG